UCACCGCUUACACGGGCAGUUUCUCUAGAGUCCCCGGCAUUACCCGCUGGCAACUAGAGAUAGGGGUUGCGCUCGUUAUGGAACUUAAUCCGACACCUCACGGCACGAGCUGACGACAGCCAUGCAGCACCUAGUUUUGUGUCCUUGCGGAAAGUCCCCUUUCAGGGACGGUCACUAACUUUCAAGCCCAGGUAAGGUUCCUCGCGUAUCAUCGAAUUAAACCACAUGCUCCACUGCUUGUGCAGGUCCCCGUCAAUUCCUUUGAGUUUUAAUCUUGCGACCGUACUCCCCAGGCGGUCAACUUCACGCGUUAGCUGCGGUACUGAGAAAUCGCUUCCCCAACACCUAGUUGACAUCGUUUAGGGCGUGGACUAC
rnacentral:misc_RNA from 1 species